rnacentral:lncRNA from 1 species
GGGCGAGUGUUGUUGGGUUGGGGUUUGAGUUUAAUUUUGAGACUGACGGCAUUGCUGGAGAGAGAGAGAGAGAGAGAGAGUAGGAGGUAGAAGUAAGGUUGAGUAGUUGANAGAGAGAGAGAGAGAGAGAGAGGUGAAUGUGAAGAAGGUUUGAGAGUUGAGGUGGCGGAAGAGAAGAGUGUGUAUUAAAGUGAAAGGAUUUGCAGAAAAUAGAUGCGAGAAAUGAAACAUGAAUUUUGUAAACUUUAAUGAAAAUGUAGGUAUUUGCAAAUCCAUUUUAUAAGUAGACACUUAUAAAAUGAUCUGUUUC